rnacentral:rRNA from 1 species
AUGGGCGUCGGGUGCAGCAACCGGACGGGCCACGUCGUCAAGCUCCAGGUCAACAGCUACGGAGCAAUCGGAGGUGAGAUAAGCUCCUCCUUGCUCACUCUACGACAUCUCAAGCACCUGGACCUCUCAUCCAACUACUUUGGUGGGAGAUCCAUUCCUCAAUUCAUCGGUGACCUCCGGAGCCUGACUCAUCUCGCCCUCACUGAUUCGUUCUUCGGUGGGCGAAUCCCUCCUCACCUUGGGAACCUCUCGAAUCUGGUCAGUCUUGACCUCUCAAUUCUGGGUUGUUGCUCGCCUGAUCUCUUAUGGGUGACGCACCUACAGAAGCUACAACACCUCGACAUGGCUGAGGUGGACCUUAGCGCUGCCGUCAACUGGACUCAUGAUGUCAACAUGCUCCCCUCUCUGGUAACCCUUGAGCUAACAUCUUGUGGGCUUCGUAACAUUAUGCCUCUACCGUUGCACUCAAAUCUCACGUCACUAGAAACCCUUGACCUCGACUCCAAUUCCUAUAGAUGCGGAAUCGUGGGUUCUAUCCCUGACGCAGUGGGAAACUUGACCUCCAUUCAAUCAUUGUCCCUCAUAGAAAACAACUUCUUUGGCAUGGUGCCAUCCACCUUCAAGAAACUCAAGAGACUACAAGUGCUCCAUCUAUCGGAAAACUUCAUUAGCGGAGGCACGCAAGAUCUAUUUUAUAGAUUGCCAGGGGAUGAGUUACAAGAGUUGUAUUUGGGCCACAACAAUUUGACAGGGACUCUUCCAGAUCGGCUAGAAAAAUUUAGCAGCUUGUCCACACUUUGGCUCAAUAAUAACAAACUAUUCGGAGAGAUACCUAUCGGUAUACGAAAACUCACAAAUUUGGUGGACCUGUGGUUGGACUCAAACAAUCUGCAUGGUAUAGUCACCCAGGACCAUUUCACCAAUAUGACUAGCCUGCAAAAUUUGUGGCUCUCUGGUAAUUCCAUAACUAUGUUGGUCAACAACACAUGGAGCACUCCAUUCAGCUUAACUUCAGCGGGCUUUAGAUCUUGCAUCCUAGGCCCCCAGUUUCCGGCAUGGAUUAUCCAACAAACACUGUACACCCUUGAUAUUUCAAACACAAGCAUACAUGACUCCAUUCCUGGUACUUUUUGGAUUGGAAUGUACCGUUGUCGAGUUCUGGAUCUAUCGGAAAAUCAGAUUUAUGGCAUGCUGCCCACAUAUUUUCUGUUUGGUGGAAUGGAAGCUGUUAUACUGGAUAUUAGUUCUAACCAGCUCGUUGGCCCGAUUCCAACACUCCCAAUGAACCUCAGCUUGUUGGACCUCUCUGGGAACAACCUAUCCGGUGCAUUGCCAUCAGAUAUCGGAGCACCGGGGCUGGAAAUACUCAUGCUCUUCAAAAAUUCCUUUUCUGGGACCAUUCCAUGCUCCCUCUUUGAGCUGCAAAAUUUGCAGUUUCUAGAUCUAUCAGAGAACAAACUAAAUGGGACAUUGGCCAAUUGCCUCCGUGCACCCAAAACUUCAAACGUGACCAUGCUUAACUUGAAUAACAACAAUCUUUCGGGAAGAAUCCCGUCAUUUCUUCAGAGGUGUAAAGAGCUAAAAUUCCUUGAUCUCGCAUACAAUGAAUUUUCUGGGAGCUUACCGACAUGGAUCGGCUCAAAGCUACCAUCCUUGGCAUUUCUGCGGUUGCGGUCAAACAUGCUCUCUGGUGGCAUCCCUGGUGAACUGACCAGGAUGCAUGGGCUUCAAUAUCUAGACAUUGCAAGCAACAACAUCUCAGGGAACAUACCAUGGUCGCUUGGGAAUCUGCUAGCUUUGGCUCAUACUCCCGAUCAAGAAGGUGCCCUUUUCAAAAUUGUCAACUUUCGGAUUGUCUCCGUCUACAAGUACACUAAUGCGUAUACUGAUAGUUUAUCGGUGGUCACAAAAGGUCAGCAGUUGGAAUACACAACAGGAAUCGCAUAUAUGGUAAACAUUGAUUUUUCUUGCAACUGUUUGACAGGGAAGAUUCCUCAUGAAAUCGGCAUGCUCAGUGCAUUGACAAACUUGAACUUGUCAUGGAAUCACCUUAGCAGCACAAUCCCUGUGACUAUUGGGGAGCUACGGGCACUGGAAUCUUUGGACCUCUCACACAAUGAGCUCUCUGGUCAAAUCCCGACGAGCAUGGCAGAUCUAACUUCACUUGCCCACUUGAACUUGUCUUACAACAAUCUGACAGGAACCAUACCUUCUGGCAAUCAGUUACAAACUUUAGAUGAUGCGUCAAUCUAUGCUGGCAAUCCAGGUCUUUGUGGUCCGCCUGUAUCAAGGAAUUGCUCGGGACCGGAAAUCACUCCAUGGACUCCUGAAAAUCGGCCAUUGUCAUUAUACCUCGGCAUUGGCACGGGAUUCGUAGCAGGUCUCUGGAUCAUCUACUGCAGCUUCUUAUUCAAGAGGAGCUGGAGAAUUAUUUGGUUCUCGUUGUUCGACCGCGUGUGUGAUUGGGUCUACGUGCGAGUGGCGGUGAGCUGGGCUUCAUUCACAAGGAAAGAGUAG